AACGAACGCUGGCGGCAUGCCUAACACAUGCAAGUCGAACGAGACCUUCGGGUCUAGUGGCGCACGGGUGCGUAACGCGUGGGAACCUGCCCUUAGGUUCGGAAUAACUCCCCGAAAGGGGUGCUAAUACCGGAUAAUGUCUUCGGACCAAAGAUUUAUCGCCUUUGGAUGGGCCCGCGUUGGAUUAGCUAGUUGGUAGGGUAAAAGCCUACCAAGGCGACGAUCCAUAGCUGGUCUGAGAGGAUGAUCAGCCACACUGGGACUGAGACACGGCCCAGACUACUACGGGAGGCAGCAGUGGGGAAUCUUGGACAAUGGGCGAAAGCAUGAUCCAGCAAUGCCGCGUGAGUGAUGAAGGCCUUAGGGUUGUAAAGCUCUUUUACCCGGGAUGAUAAUGACAGUACCGGGAGAAUAAGCUCCGGCUAACUCCGUG
rnacentral:rRNA from 1 species